rnacentral:tRNA from 1 species
GGCCCCUUCGUCUAUCGGUUAGGACAUGAGGUUUUCAUCCUCAAAAGGCGGGUUCGAUUCCCGCAGGGGUCA